rnacentral:piRNA from 1 species
UGUGGCCGAAGGGGACAAGGGAGGUUGC